AAGCCCUACGGGGGGCAGCAGUGGGGAAUAUUGGACAAUGGGGGGAACCCUGAUCCAGCGACGCCGCGUGAGUGAAGAAGUAUUUCGGUAUGUAAAGCUCUAUCAGCAGGGAAGAAAGAAAUGACGGUACCUGACCAAGAGGCCCCGGCUAAAUACGUGCCAGCAGCCGCGGUAAUACGUAUGGGGCAAGCGUUAUCCGGAUUUACUGGGUGUAAAGGGAGCGUAGGCGGCAGGGCAAGCCUGAUGUGAAAGCCCGGGGCUCAACCCCGGGACUGCAUUGGGAACUGCCCCGCUCGAGUGCCGGG
rnacentral:rRNA from 1 species